rnacentral:rRNA from 1 species
UACGUAGGGUGCAAGCGUUGUCCGGAAUUAUUGGGCGUAAAGAGCUUGUAGGCGGUUUGUCGCGUCUGCUGUGAAAUUUCGGGGCUCAACCCCGAACUUGCAGUGGGUACGGGCAGACUAGAGUGUGGUAGGGGAGACUGGAAUUCCUGGUGUAGCGGUGAAAUGCGCAGAUAUCAGGAGGAACACCGAUGGCGAAGGCGGGUCUCUGGGCCGUAACUGACGCUGAGGUGCGAAAGCGUGGGGAGCAAACAGGAUU